rnacentral:piRNA from 1 species
AUUGUGGGGACCUGGAGGAAAAGUGC